UAUAAUAUACUAAUCGUAGAGUAAGCAUAGGUAGUUACAAAUUUUAUAACAAAUUUGAGGAAAGUCCGGUCUCCUUUUAGAGAAAUAUAGCUAUAUAGAAAAUAGUGUAGGUAACUAUGAGGACAGUGCCACAGAAAUAAACCGCCUUAGCAUAAUUAUAGGUAAGGGUGCAAAGAUGCAGUAAGAGCGCAUCAGUAAUAUUAUAAAGAUAUUAGCUAGGUAAACCCCAUAUUAGGAGUAAAGUGUUCUUUUAAUUUUUAUAAUCUAUAGUUAUUAAUUAUCAUGAAUUAUAUUUUGAAUCUGCGGGAAGUAAGGUGAAAAAAAUGCCUUUACUCUAGAUGAAUAACUGCCCUUUAUAUAACUUUUCUUUUUGUAUUAUAUAAAGAACAAAAUCCGGCUUAUGACUUACUUAUUCAA
rnacentral:RNase_P_RNA from 1 species